CGUGAGCUUCAGUCAGUUCAAGGUUAGGUGUUUGGUGUGCACAACCUGAUCUUUUUAACUGUCUCUGUUGUUCACAGGGUCAAGCUGUACAGACCAGAUUCACCAGUGCCCAGCUGUAUGUCUUUGAAGAGUGACUUUUCAAUGGAUCAACCAUUACACUUCAAAGGUGGAGACUUCAAUCCUCACCCCAGGGUCAAGCUGUACAGACCAGAUUCACCAGUGCCCAGCUGUAUGUCUAUGAAGAGUGACUUUUCAAUGGAUCAACCAUUACACUUCAAAGUUGGAGACUUCAAUCCUCACCCCAGGUGAGGUCACUGAUUUCCAUUGCAGAAGCUAUC
rnacentral:lncRNA from 1 species